AAUAUUGGUCAUGGGGGGCAACCCUGAUCCAGCCAUACCGCUUGAGUGAUGAAGGCCAUAGGGUUGUAAAUCACUUUCAUUGGGGAAGAUAAUGACGGUACACACACACGAAGCCCUGGCUAACUUCGUGCCAGCAGCCGCGGUAAUACGAAGGGGGCUAGCGUUGUUCGGAUUUACUGGGCGUAAAGCCCACGUAGGCGGAUUGGUCAGUUAGGGGUGAAAUCCCGGAGCUCAACUCCGGAACUGCCUUUAAUACUGCCAGUCUAGAGUCCGAGAGAGGUGAGUGGAACUCCUAGUGUAGAGGUGGAAUUCGUAGAUAUUAGGAAGAACACCAGUGGCGAAGGCGGCUCACUGGCUCGGUACUGACGCUGAGGUGCGAAAGCGUGGGGAGCAAAC
rnacentral:rRNA from 1 species